UGGCAUCUUCCCAUUAGGAGCUAUCAGCGCUGACGUCAUGUGUGACAUCACGCUAACAACUUUGGGCUAGAGCCCAGUCAAGAAUUGCCCUUGGGUGCCAAGGCUGGUAGGCCCCAGGGCUUGCCCAGGCUUUAGGCUGCACGCUGGAAAGGGGGAACCUGGCUUGGGGGGCCUAUUGCAAGGAUUUGGGUCUAGCAGUGGAGGUGCUCUUACAUAACCUGCCUACCAAAUCCUCCCAGGAGCGAAUAGAGCUUGGUGCCAGUGUUGUGUACCACGUAUAAGCACGAUCAGUGAGGCUUUUCGAAAACUCCCAGAGAUGAAGGUUAUGAUCACCGGCAUGUGGUCCUAAAGCGUCAAUGAAGCAGUUGAUAUGCUCUUUCAGGGUUCCUUUCCUUCUGUCGAACAGGACAAAGCCUGGGGCCUAAU
rnacentral:lncRNA from 1 species